AGUGAACGCUGGCGGUAGGCCUAACACAGGCAAGUCGAACGGCAGCACAGUAAGAGCUUGCUCUUACGGGUGGCGAGUGGCGGACGGGUGAGGAAUACAUCGGAAUCUACUUUUUCGUGGGGGAUAACGUAGGGAAACUUACGCUAAUACCGCAUACGACCUACGGGUGAAAGCAGGGGAUCUUCGGACCUUGCGCGAUUGAAUGAGCCGAUGUCGGAUUAGCUAGUUGGCGGGGUAAAGGCCCACCAAGGCGACGAUCCGUAGCUGGUCUGAGAGGAUGAUCAGCCACACUGGAACUGAGACACGGUCCAGACUCCUACGGGAGGCAGCAGUGGGGAAUAUUGGACAAUGGGCGCAAGCCUGAUCCAGCCAUACCGCGUGGGUGAAGAAGGCCUUCGGGUUGUAAAGCCCUUUUGUUGGGAAAGAAAAGCAGCAGGUUAAUACCCCGCUGUCCUGACGGUACCCAAAGAAUAAGCACCGGCUAACUUCGUG
rnacentral:rRNA from 1 species